UUCGUGCACAUCAAACACAACAACAGCAAGCUAGACAUAAUGAAAUUGAGCGAAUCCGUAGACGCAGUGCUCCUGUGAUUCUUGAACGAGCUGCAUUCCACUAUGAUCCGGCAAUUGAUUAUUGGGCCGACAAAUCAGUAAAAAUUGGGGAAAUGAAAACAAUUUGUAAAUAUUCGAAGGCGUUAAAGAACACUGGUGAAUCUACUGGAUUAUGUUGCGCUGAAGGCAAAAUAAAAUUGCCACAAUUGGUCCCACCACCAGAUCCUUUACGCUCUUUAGUUUCUAAGAUUGGAAAUGAUUCGAAGCACUUCUUGACCAACAUUCAGAAAUAUAACAACUGUUUAAAGAUGACAUCAUUUGGUGCUACACAUAUUAUACAAGACAAUUUCAUGCCCACUUUUAAGAUACAAGGACAAUUUAUCACUUACUGUGAACUCUGUUACCACUACCUGAUGCAGAUCAUCAAUUUUUACAAAUUUAUUUUAUGGGCAAUUCAGAUGCGGAAAUUAAUAAUCGUUG